CCUACGGGGUGCAGCAGUGAGGAAUAUUGGUCAAUGGGCGCGAGCCUGAACCAGCCAAGUAGCGUGAAGGAUGACUGCCCUACGGGUUGUAAACUUCUGUUAUAAAGGAAUAAAGUGAAGCACGUGUACCUUUUUGGAUGUACUUUAUUAAUAAGGAUCGGCUAACUCCGUGCCAGCAGCCGCGGUAAUACGGAGGAUCCGAGCGUUAUCCGGAUUUAUUGGGUUUAAAGUGAGCGUAGAUGGGUUGUUAAGUCAGUUGUGAAAGUUUGCGGCUCAACCGUAAAAUUGCAAUUGAUACUGGCAGUCUUGAGUACAGUUGAGGUAGGCGGAAUUCGUGGUGUAGCGGUGAAAUGCGUAGAUAUCACGAAGAACUCUGAUUGCGAAGGCAGCUUACUAAACUGCAACUGACAUUGAUGCUCGAAAGUGAGGGUAUCAAACAGGAUUAGAUACCCCUGUAGUC
rnacentral:rRNA from 1 species